GGGGGGACCAUCCUCCAAGGCUAAAUACUCGUGAUCGACCGAUAGCGUACUAGUACUGUGAAGGAAAGGUUAAAAGAACCCCGGGAGGGGAGUGAAAUAGAUUCUGAAACCGCAUGCAUACAAACAGUAGGAGCCCUUCGGGGUGACUGCGUACCUUUUGCAUAAUGGGUCAGCGACUUAUGUUAUGUGGCAAGCCUAACCGACUAGGGGAGGCGCAGCGAAAGCGAGUCCGAACAGGGCGAUUCAGUCGCAUGGCAUAGACCCGAAACCAGAUGAGCUAACCAUGGCCAGGCUGAAGGUGUGGUAACACACACUGGAGGGCCGAACCUACUGGUGUUGCAAAACCAGAGGAUGAGCUGUGGUUAGGGGUGAAAGGCUUAACAAAUCUGGAGAUAGCUGGUUCUCCCCGAAAACUAUUGAGGUAGUGCCUUGUAUAUGAGCUUCUGGGGGUAGAGCACUGUUAUAGCUAGGGGGACAUGGCGUCUUACCAAACUAUGGCAAACUCCGAAUACCAGAAAGCUUCGUACAGGAGACAGAGCACCGGGUGCUAACGUCCGGACUCAAAAGGGAAUCAACCCAGACCGCCAGCUAAGGUCCCUAAUAUCAGCUAAGUGGAAAACGAAGUGGAAAGGCUAAAACAGUCAGGAAGUUGGCUUAGAAGCAGCCAUCCUUCAAAGAAAGCGUAAUAGCUCACUGAUCGAGUCCUUCCGCGCGGAAGAUGUAACGGGGCUAAGUUGAUAACCGAAGCUGCGGAUUCAUACUUUUAGUGUGAGUGGUAGGGGAGCGUUCUGUAAGCCUGCGAAGGUGGAUCGUAAGGUCUGCUGGAGGUAUCAGAAGUGCGAAUGCUGACAUGAGUAACGAUAAAGCGGGUGAAAAGCCCGCUCGCCGCAAACCCAAGGUUUCCUGCUCUACGUUAAUCGGAGCAGGGUGAGUCGGUUCCUAAGGCCAGGCUGAGAAGCGUAGCUGAUGGAAAUCAGGUUAAUAUUCCUGAACCGGCGUUGAAUGCGAUGGGGUGACGGAGCAGCCAGAGUGGACCGGGUGUUGGAUGUCCCGGCUUCCGAGCGAUGGGUGCCUGCAGGCAAAUCCGCAGGCGUAUACCCAGGACGAAGGAUCGGGUCUUCUUUUGAAGACGAAGCCACUGGAAGCGCUUCCAGGAAAAACCUCUAAGCUUCAGUUCAACGGCGACCGUACCGUAAACCGACACAGGUGGGUGAGCUGAAUAUGCUCAGGCGCUUGAGAGAACUCGGGAGAAGGAACUCGGCAAAUUGACACCGUAACUUCGGAAGAAGGUGUGCCUUUGUAGCUUGAUGGGAGAGAAACCCAAAGGGCGAAGAGGUCUCAGAGAAUCGGUGGCUGUAACUGUUUACUAAAAACACAGCGCUCUGCAAAGAUGAAAGUCGACGUAUAGGGCGUGAUGCCUGCCCGGUGCUGGAAGAUUAAUUGAUGGGGUGCAAGCUCCUGAUCGAAGUCCCAGUAAACGGCGGCCGUAACUAUAACGGUCCUAAGGUAGCGAAAUUCCUUGUCGGGCAAGUUCCGACCUGCACGAAUGGCAUAAUAAUGGCCACACUGUCUCCUCCCGAGACUCAGUGAAAUUGAAAUGUUUGUGAUGAUGCAAUCUCCCCGCGGCUAGACGGAAAGACCCCAUGAACCUUAACUGUAGCUUUGCAUUGGACUUUGAACCGAUCUGUGUAGGAUAGGCGGGAGGCUUUGAAGAAUGGACGCCAGUUCAUUCGGAGCCGUCGUUGAAAUACCGCCCUGAUUUGUUUGAGGUUCUAACCUGGGCCAGUAAUCCUGGCUGGGGACCGUGCAUGGUGGGCAGUUUGACUGGGGCGGUCUCCUCCUAAAGGGUAACGGAGGAGUGCGAAGGUACGCUAAUCACGGUCGGAAAUCGUGAGGAUACUGCAAUGGGAAAAGCGUGCCUGACUGCGAGACAGACAAGUCGAGCAGAUGCGAAAGCAGGUCAUAGUGAUCCGGUGGC
rnacentral:rRNA from 1 species